rnacentral:rRNA from 1 species
UACGGGGGGGGUAAGCGUUGUUCGGAUUUACUGGGCGUAAAGGGCGCGUAGGCGGUCGUGACAAGUCACUUGUGAAAUCUCCGGGCUUAACUCGGAACGGUCAAGUGAUACUGUCGGACUAGAGUACAGAAGGGGCAACUGGAAUUCUCGGUGUAGCGGUGAAAUGCGUAGAUAUCGAGAGGAACACCUGCGGCGAAGGCGGGUUGCUGGGCUGAUACUGACGCUGAGGCGCGAAAGCCAGGGGAGCGAACGGG